UGGUUUGUUGCGUCUUUCUUGCCGGUC
rnacentral:piRNA from 1 species